rnacentral:lncRNA from 1 species
UUGGCCGUCCGGACAGGAGUAGUGGAUUUAUCUUCCUGUUAAUCGAUCCGGCUUGCUUCCUCCGAUCAGAUCUCUGGUUUGUUCCUUCAAUCUUCAAAAAACACCCACGGCUCAACCAUGGACGCCCCAAAUCCAUCAGCAAUCUACAUCCUCCUCCCAUAUCCUCCGUCUCCGCCCCUUCUGUUCCCCCAACAAGCGUCUGCCUCAUUUCCCACCCGCCCGCUUUUCACCCGUCAAUUCGCCUUCUCCAAAUGAAAUCCUCGGUGGCCAGCGAAAGAGAGGGGAAGGGAGAAGGCGGCCGAGAGGCGUCUCUCAAACCCUAGUGUCCUACCCUUCCUUUUACUUCAGCCCAAGUGUCCACCCAACGGUCAUAAGUUCUGCACUCUCAGUGGCCAAAGAUUACUACAUUUAAAUUUUCGGCCCAACAGCCCAAACUCGCAUCUUAACUCAGCCCGCUUUUUCUCCUCUUCAGCCUAUUUUAAAUUUAAAUUAAAUAAGAACAAAAUUCAAAUUAAAUAGACAACUAAUAAUAAUAAUAACAAUAAUAAAUUACUUGUAAAUUAUUUACAUAAUUAUUUUUUAAAAAAAUAAAAAAAAUCUCUCUCCUCAAUCUUCUUUUUGGAAUAAAUUUUGCCUUUUCAUAAUAUUAAUUUCUAUUAUUGCAAACUCUUCUUUACUUUCUUUUUUCAAUAUUCAGCUCAUAUACAGUCAGUUAAAAUUUAAUUUUUAUUACAUUAAUUAAUAAAUAUGAUAAUUCAGUUGGUAUAUAUUUUAUAUAAAUACAAAAAUACAAAAAUAUUUUCAGGGUGGAAUUGCUAAUUAUUUUUUUACUUGUGAAUAAUUUUGUUUCAAUUUAUUAUGUUUUUCUCUAUAGUGUACAAUUAUUUUCUAUUUUUGUGUUAUUUUCUUCUCUUUAUUUAUUUAAAUUAAUAACUAUGAUAAAAAUUAUAAGUUAAUAAGUUAAUAAAUAUUAUAAAUAAAUUAUGACCAUGUCAGUUUUAAAAAUAAGAGUAGUGAUUAAUUACUUUAGUAUUUAUUUUUUCAAAAUAUGUUGAAAAUCAUUGAAUUUUAAAUUAAAAUCAUGAAGAUUAUGUGUAAAUUAUUUACAUAAUUGUUCUUAAAAGUAUUUUAAGUGUGUGUAGAUUAGUAUAAAAGUAAUAAAGUAGGAGAGAGAAGGUGAUAAAGUAUGAGAGAGAAGAUAAUAAAAUGAUAAAGUGGGAGAGAGAAUGUGAUAAAGUAGGAGAGAGAAUGUAAUAAAGUGAUAAAGUAGGAGAGAUAAUGUGAUAAAGUAGUGAUUGAAUGUGAUAAAUAUUUCCAUUUAGAAAAGUGACCAACAAUAGUCGGACAAACAAAAAACAAAUGCAGCCAAACAAUAUAAAAAAAGAGGGAGUAAUGUUUAUUUGUUAAUUUAAUUUAGGAAUAAAAUAAGAAAUGUAAUGUAAUUGCAAGUAUAUAUAUGAACUUCAAUCAAUAAUAUUGACAUCAAUUAAUAGGUUAAAAUAAAAUAAUAGUAUUAGUCUUAGGUUAGAAAUUAAAAAAAAAAAAGUAGUAAAAAAAACAUGGAGGCUCAUUAUAAACACAAACAACUUAGCUCAUAAACAAUGAGUCCUUGAAGUUAGAUCUGAAAAUUAAGGCCAAAAUAACUCUCGGUCAAAGGAGAUGGAGUGUAUGGUAAUAAGUUAGACCAUAUAUUCACAUAAACUGCUAUUACCAUAAACGCCCACUAUGUGAUCACUAUCUGCUAUUGCAACCGGUAUGGCUGUUGCUUUGACAACUAUGAUGACAAAAAUUGGGUAAAAACCCUAUCAAGCAAUUGAUAGGGUUCACUCUUAACAUUGCCAAUUAUAAGGUUUAAGACCUAAAGCACAAAUAAUAAUGAGGCUAAGACUCCAUACAUAGUAGUAUUUGUAUCCAAAUCCAGCUACGACUUAAAAUACCAGUCAUUAGCAAUUGUAGCCAUACCACCACAACAUAAUCUUCUAAUACUUCUGAAACUCUUGAUAAAUGAAAAUAAAUGAAUUCGUAAUGAGAUUUGUAUCACCUUCAAAGUGUUGGUGCGCAGACACAUAUUUAACUGCUUCUCUCUCGAGAGAAAAUAGUCUUUAGUUUCCAUUAUACCCAGCAUCUAAACAGAAUGGUAAAUUCUUCAAUCAUGCAAUUUGAGAUUGAAAAACAUCACAAAAGUAAUAGGAAAACAUAAAAGAAAAGUGUACCUCCAUUACAGCUUCAAUCAUAAACUUAUUGUACCGCGAAUAUGUGAUGAGAUCCAUCACGAGCUGAUUAACAUAAUCCUUGUAUGUCGGUUUCUCUUCCUUCAAAAGCUCAAAAACAGAGAGUACCCUAAAAACUGAAAAUAAGGAUUACCAAAGAGAACAGCCAAUUAAAUUAAGGCCACGGAAUUUCAGAAGGGAAAAAAAAGAAAUAUAACAAAACAUACUAUCGUUGAUCCUUUCCCAGAGCUUGGAACGAGGCAUGCGCUUACUCUUUUCCUCUUCGAACUCCUAGGUUAUUGUAUGGAAAUUUAUAAGCACUUUUCAAUUCAUAAGAUAAUACUCCCUCCGUCCACGAAAGAACUUCCUAUCUUUCCUUUUUGGGACGUCCACAAAAGAACUUCCUACCUAUUUUUGGACUAUACCCCACCACUUAUAAUCCUCUUACUUUUCACUUUUCACAACUCCCAAUAUUAAUUUAUAACACCUUUUCACCACUCCUAAUACACUCAACUAUCUUAUAUCCACUCUCAANCCGCUUUUCACCCGUCAAUAUGCACCGUCAAUGCUGACAAGGCGGCGCCGCCUCCUUCGCCUUCUCCAAAUGAAACCGCCAUUUCUUCCCGUCUGUCCUCUUGCACCACCCGGGCUUCGGAUCUCCUUUUCUGCUGUAUCUAAUACCGCCUGAAACAAUUUCUGAGUUCAGUUAAUAAUAUGCAGAGAUUGGAUGUGGAAUGGUAUGGGAGAAUGAAAAAUAUUUAUAUAUGUGCAUUUACAGGGGAAAGAGAAGAUGAGGCGGCACAGGAACACAGGAAAUCAUGCAUGUGCAUAUCAUAGCUUGUCUCUCCAGUUCUUUCUAUUGUGCACCUGUGAAUGCAACUUCUCCACCUGAAUCAUCCAUCUUUCUAAAUCAAGACAAAAUAAAAAAUAAUAAUACUAAAAAAUAAAUCAUGAUCGUUUACCUCCUACAUAAACUGUAAUUGUGAAGUCCAUUUUUCAGCAGAAUCAAAUUCCUUGCUUUUAUUUCCAGUGAUGAAUCUUCUUAUCACCAGAAAAGUAUUAAAAAAAAAGGCAUCUAAACUCAGACACUGCAAAAAAAGAUGUGUCAUCGACAAGAAAAAGCAAGAUAAAAUUCCACAACCUCACUCAAUAAGAAUUCCUCUCACCUUAAACAAUGUUUUUCCCAUUUCAUAUUCAACCACUGUAAGAAACCAUUGCCAUGAAAAAGAUGUGUCAUCGACAAGAAAAGCAAGAUAAAUUCCACAACCUCACUCAAUAAGAAUUCCUCUCACCUUAACAAUGUUUUUCCCAUUUCAUAUUCAACCACUGUAAGAAACCAUUGCCAUGAGUGGAAGCUUCCGGAAUUCCCGACAGCCGGAAAGUUGGCCGUCCGGACAGGAGUAGUGGAUUUAUCUUCCUGUUAAUCGAUCCGGCUUGCUUUGUUCCUUCAAUCUUCAAAAAACACCCACGGCUCAACCAUGGACGCCCCAAAUCCAUCAGCAAUCUACAUCCUCCUCUCAUAUCCUCCGUCUCCGACCCUUCUGUUCCCCCAACAAGCGUCUGCCUCAUUU